rnacentral:rRNA from 1 species
GCAGGCGCGAAACCUUAGCAAUGUGCGAAAGCACGACUGGGUCAGUCCGAGUGAUUCCUGAUAAAGGAGUCUUUUGCUUGUCCUAAAAGCACAGGUGAAUAAGGGGUGGGCAAGUCUGGUGUCAGCCGCCGCGGUAAUACCAGCACCUCGAGUGGUCAGGACGUUUAUUGGACCUAAAGCAUCCGUAGCCGGCUCUGCAAGUCUUCGGUUAAAUCCACCUGCUCAACAGAUGGGCUGCUGGAGAUACUACAGAGCUAGGGAGUGGGAGAGGCAGACGGUAUUCAGUGGGUAGGGGUAAAAUCCUCUGAUCCAUUGAGGACCACCAGUGGCGAAGGCGGUCUGCCAGAACACGUUCGACGGUGAGGGAUGAAAGCUGGGGGAGCAAACCGGAUUAGAUACCCGGGUAGUCCCAGCUGUAAACGAUGCAAACUCGGUGAUGCAUUGGCUUAUGGCCAAUGCAGUGCCGCAGGGAAGCCGUUAAGUUUGCCGCCUGGGAAGUACGGACGCAAGUCUGAAACUUAAAGGAAUUGGCGGGGGAGCAC